UAGCGAAGGGGGCUAGCGUUGCUCGGGAAUCACUGGGCGUAAAGCGCACGUAGGCGGAUCUUUAAGUCAGGGGUGAAAUCCCAAGGCUCAACCUUGGAACUGCCUUUGAUACUGGGGAUCUCGAGUCCGGAAGAGGUUGGUGGAACUGCGAGUGUAGAGGUGAAAUUCGUAGAUAUUCGCAAGAACACCAGUGGCGAAGGCGGCCAACUGGUCCGGUACUGACGCUGAGGUGCGAAAGCGUGGGGAGCAAACAGGG
rnacentral:rRNA from 1 species